rnacentral:rRNA from 1 species
AACGAACGCUGGCGGCAGGCUUAACACAUGCAAGUCGAACGAGCUGGGGGCUUCGGUCCCCGGUGCUAGUGGCGCACGGGUAAGUAACACGUGGGAAUAUGCCCUUUAGUACGGAAUAACCAAGGGAAACUUUUGCUAAUACCUUAUACGCCCUUCGGGGGGAAGGUUUAUCGCUAAAGGUUUAGCCCGUGUCUGAUUAGGUAGUUGGUAAGGUUAUGGCUCAGCAAGUCGACGAUCAGUACCUGGUCUGAGAGGAUGACCAGCCACACUGGGAAUGAGACACGGCCCAGACUCCUACGGGAGGCAGCAGUGGGGAAUACUGGACAAUGGGGGCAACUCUGAUCCAGCCACGCCGGGUGAGUGAAGAAGGCCUUCGGGUUGUAAAGCUCUUUCGACGGGGACGAUGAUGACGGUACCCGUAUAAGAAGCCCCGGCAAACUUCGUG